CCUACGGGAUGCAGCAGUGGGGAAUAUUGCCCAAUGGGGGAAACCCUGAUGCAGCAACGCCGCGUGAGGGAUGAAGUUUUUCGGUAUGUAAAGCUCUAUCAGCAGGGAAGCAAAUGACGGUACCUGAUUAAGAAGCACCGGCUACCUACGUGCCAGCAGCCGCGGUAAUACGUCGGGGGCAAGCGUUAUCCGGCUUUACUGGGUGUAAAGGGGGCGCAGACGGGAGCGUAAGUCUGGAGUGAAAUCCUGGAGCUCAACCCCCGAACUGCUUUGGAAACUGUGCGGCUAGAGUGCGGGAGAGGUAGGCGGAAUUCCUAGUGUAGCGGUGAAAUGCGUAGAUAUUAGGAGGAACACUAGUGGCGAAGGCGGCCUACUGGACAGUAACUGACGUUGAGGCUCGAAAGCGUGGGGAGCAAACAGGAUUAGAUACCCGAGUAGUC
rnacentral:rRNA from 1 species